ACAGCCCAGGCCGAUCGGUCACAUCCGCUAAAGGAGCGCAGCUGUGACCGAUCAGCAAUCAGUGGCAGUUAAAGCCAGGCUCGCCCCACCAGCCGCCGCUGGUUCAUUGCUCCUGCUGGCUCUCCACCAGCCACUCUGCCCAGGUCUGCCGCAGCUCCGGACUUCCCCCGCCUGCUUUGUCCUGCCCGACUACUAUCCAGAGCCCUGGAGCUCUGCUCGGAGAGCCCGGCCCGUUCCCGGAGCUUCCCCCCUCUGUCCCUGCCUCGGCUCCCUCCGCCGAUCUCCGCUGCAUGUAGCAGCCCCGGCGUGCGCCCCACAGACUGCCGGCUGCAGAACCAGUCUGCCCCCCCCCCAACCCCGUUGGACUUGUUUGACUUCCUCCCUGCCAUUGGUCCAGGAAUCAGAUGCUUGAGAGAGGAGAUAACGGUCAUUUCAGUGAGGCUGGCAUUCAGGCGGUUUAUCUCUUCUGUCAUGGAGGAAAGUUCAUCAUUGCUGGUCUGCAGAUGCUCAGUCAGGUUUUCUUUGAUGGAGGAUAAAUCUGCAGCCGAGUCACGGUCUGAAAUAUCAAGAUCUGGACAUCUUGCAAGACAGUCUGAUGUCUUCAGUCUUUGAAUGCCUCGCUUCUCACAGUUUAGGCUUUGACUCCUCCAUCUGGGAGAAAAACACUAAAAAGAGGUUUCAGAGAGCAGUUUCUGACCCUGGAAGAAGAGUCCGCUGGGCUGCUUGGCGGCGGCUGGAGACACGGCGAGCCACAGCACCGUGUCGGC